AACGAACGCUGGCGGCAGGCCUAACACAUGCAAGUCGAACGGACCCUUCGGGGUUAGUGGCGGACGGGUGAGUAACACGUGGGAACGUGCCUUUAGGUUCGGAAUAGCUCCUGGAAACGGGUGGUAAUGCCGAAUGUGCCCUUCGGGGGAAAGAUUUAUCGCCUUUAGAGCGGCCCGCGUCUGAUUAGCUAGUUGGUGGGGUAAUGGCUCACCAAGGCGACGAUCAGUAGCUGGUCUGAGAGGAUGACCAGCCACAUUGGGACUGAGACACGGCCCAAACUCCUACGGGAGGCAGCAGUAGGGAAUCUUGCGCAAUGGGCGAAAGCCUGACGCAGCCAUGCCGCGUGGAUGAUGAAGGUCUUAGGAUUGUAAAAUCCUUUCACCGGUGAAGAUAAUGACUGUAGCCGGAGAAGAAGCCCCGGCUAACUUCGUGCCAGCCGCCGCCGUAAUAC
rnacentral:rRNA from 1 species